GCCUCGCGCACCCGGUUAGUAAAGGAUGCUUCCUCUAGUCUUCCAGGUUGCUGGAAUGUCAGAUGGCAGCUGGAUCAUGGUUUAGCACUCGGUCUUCCUUUAUGUCCCAUCUGGCCCUCGUGGAUAUUGCUUUAACACAGUCCAAGAUACCAACCUAUACACAGCAUACAGGGACUCUUGAGUGAUGCUUUGCUCCUGAAAGCUGACUUUGAAACUAUUCAUCAUAACCAAGAGAUGCAGGCUAUCCUUCAAAAGCAAGAGAAUCUUUUUUCUUCUUUAGUAGCACCGGUCACAUGAGACAGCCAGGAAAGGGGGUACUGCAAGCAAACAUUUGGAACCAUCCUUCUCUGAAUAAAAUUCUGUUGUGCAUGUAUAUCACCUCAUUCUUAAGUUUUAUGAGUCCUAUAUGGUUAUUCCAUGGAAUAUAUAUUAUGGCGUGGCUCUUAGAUGUCUC
rnacentral:lncRNA from 1 species